CUGACGUUUUUGUUUCUUGACAACUUCAUCCGUCUUUUUAGCAGGUUUUGUUUUGGACAGAGGUUUCCUGCGUAUUUACUGUCUCUUCUAAACCAAGUGCAAUGUGUAAUAUUGAGACGCGUUGUGAAUAAGCAGAAUUUGUUAGCUUGUUAAAAUUAAGUGAUUCCUGGUAAGCGCAGGGUAUAAUCCUAUACUUAGACUCCUGACUCUCAUUUACUUCGCAGCACAACUUUUUGUCUUGGACACACACUUCAGCGCUACAAAUUAAUCUCUGAGGUUUAUUACGAGCUGCUCUGUAGCCACAGAAGUCCUCAGGCUUCUUGCUGAAAUUGCACCCAGCCAUGCCUUUCUGCAAGGCGAGGGAGAAAGGAGGUCCACAGGAGUUCAUGUUAACAAUGACUCUAAAUGCCCGUUUCCCACACAUCUUUGCUAGCACAAACAGCAAAAAUAGUCCACUUGCACAGAAUCUGAUUCAGCUUUCUUGCAUUCCGCAAUAACAGAUGGAUUGCUAGACUGUUUACUGUUGCUUCCCACAAACUUCCUGUUAGUAAACUCCUGUAUUAUUUAUGAAACAAAAAAAAUACAAAGAAGUAUCUUAGCUGAUUACUGCCUGCUGGUGAACCACUGCCAGAGAAACUUUUUAUACAAAUAUGUUUAUGGGAGCAAGGAUCCCUUCUGAUGCAGUUGUUGGGGUAUUAUUAUUAUUUUUCCAAUUGUUUGUUUCACUGUUUCCUGUGACCCUAUUGUGCUGUGCUCCUGAGAAGGCAUUUCCUGCACUCAAUUUGCAGUUGAGAUAUCUGUGAAUGUGUAAAGGAGCUCGGGGUGGGGGGAAAAGCAGCACACAUACAUGUUACAGAGAUCAGCUAUGAAUAGGAAAUAUUUAAAGCCUUGUUGCUUUGCAAUGACAAUGACGAAUGAGAUUUUCCUAAUGUGGCAUUAAUCUCUGCUGACCCAGCUUAGGAAGCGGAGUGUCUCGGAGCUUUUUGACAGAAAACAGGGAAUAGUGCUCUGUCGACCACCUUCAUGCUACUUCUGACAUAAGUAGACAGUAAAUGUGAAGAAACUUUAUUUUCCUCUCAGACUGGCUGUUAAACUGCACAAAAGAGAGGAGCUGAGAGGAGCACUUUGUUUGCACUGCACACCGUAGAUUAGACUGAUUUCUGACUCUCAGUGUUGUGGGAGAGGAGGCCAGCCUGCAAUCUGUCUGUACAAUUUUAUCAACAGAGCUAGUGAAUUUUAAAAAUCAUCUGUAAUAAAAAAGAGCAGAAUGUAAUGCAAAAAUAUGAAAUUUGUAUAUUACCAAAAGUCCUUUUAGUGUUUUUAGAAAUAACACUUGACCUAAAGUCAUUCUGUUUUUUAAAAUAGUUGCUAUUAUAUUUCAUUGAGAUUCUGUUCUAUUUAUGUAUUCUGUAUGAAUGAAUUGGCUGCUCCACCUGAUAUUUAUGAUUGUAGUCACGCAUUAUAUACACACACAGAAACAGAAUGAAAUUUUUCCUGAUCUGAGACACAGAUAAUUUUUCCUCGAGGUUUUUUAUUUGAUUCCCUAAACCAAAACCAAAACUCAAACCAGCACUGCGGAGCGAGCACUUUCUAACGUUAGCCCUGCGAAGUGGAUCGUUCACUGCAUGAGGUUUAACAAAAAAAGCUGCUGUGUGUUAUAGGCAACUGCAGGAUGCCGAUUAAACCAUUGCAUACCUUUAUGUGAUCUGUACUUGCAAAAAAAACUGGUGUCAGGUGGAGCAGGGCAUUUACUGAUCCUGGGGCAGAGCUCCUUCCCGAGUGUUGGAGUGAGUCGGCGUCACGUAAGCGAUCACUCAUUUCAAGUCAUAGUAAGAAUAUGUCUUCUCUGAGCAAACUCUUUCCUCUGCCUCCUCAAACACCCUCGCUCAGAGCUCCUGCUGACAGAAACAGAAUUCAAUGGAAUUAAGGCAGAUGAUCAGUGGCACUAUCUCCUGAUGCUUCAAUCCACAAACAAGAAUCUUGUGGCAGAUGUUUCUGCACUUUAUGCAAAUAGGAACUUCAUGGAUCAGUUUUCUUUUCCUCCACGGAAUAUAUGCAGCUGGAAAAUAGAAAUCCAGCUCCGCAGCACAAAGUGGGGGGGAAAAAAAAAAAAUCAUGCUGCUGACCAAACAGGAGAAAGCGAUCUGUAGCUGUGAAAUCAAAUAAUUAAACUGCUGGUUCUCAGGAUCAUUUCUGGGCUCAAUCAAGUGGUGUAUGCGACGAUCCAGGUUUUGUGGGCUCUUUCUGCAGCAGCGCUGUGGCUCACAAGUCGUUUCUGGAACGGGAAAAAGAGAUCUCUCUUGUGCUGUGUAUAAUAUUUCCUCAUAAAUGUUUUCCUUUCUUUUACCCUUUCUGAUAUGCUGUUUUCAUUCUCACAGUAGCUGUGGAUAGCUGUAUUAGAUGUGAUGCAUAAGUGUAUUAAAAUAGUGGAGUUUGCACACGAAGAAAGGGUUUCAGCCCAUUAUAUGUAAUAAAUAGGGUAUAGGCAUUUAUAUAAACUGAAUGGGUUAGGUAUGUUCUUUAUAAUAGCAUGGAAAGCUGGACAUGUGAGAAUGACUGAUGAAAAGAAAAAGAAUAAUUUCCUUCCUGUUGGUUGAAAGGAAAAAAAUAACUCUUAAACUUAGAGGAGGUUCUAAGGAAAUGUAGUUUUAUAAAUUAUUGUGUAAUAUGUAAAAUCAUGCAAUACAGAAGGGCUGUAGAAUGCCACCUAAUAGAACCCUAGAAAAUCAUGAAAGGUGAUAAUCCUAAAUGCAAUUAUUUUAAAAAAGCUAUUUUUAUUACUAUUACUAAAUAAAAUCAAUAGCACUAUUUUAGACUGAUUUGUUCUUCUUCUGAUUUUAUAUAUUUCUUUGAAGAUUUCUGUGGAAGUAUUUUUUAUCAUCAGACAUCAGAAUAAGUCUCAAGAGUUGUUAGACAACAUCUGUAUCUUAUUUUCUCGGUGAGGCUUUUGUUAAUUUUGUAUAUUUUCUGUGUUUUAAUAUCUCUUGUGGGUCACAAUUUUUUUUUUCCAAAUUUUCAAUUAAUACUUAAUUCAAUGCCUGUAUCUGGCACUGUGUGAACAUUCAGUAAGGCUCUAUGAUAAAUUUUAUUUAUAAAUACACAAAGCCUGGUUUUGUGGUAUUGUCUAGAACCUUGUCUUCAUUUCAUGACUAGUCAAAUUCUGGGAAAAGAUCUUUAUUCAAUUCAGAUGUACUACAUUAUUUUCUUCAAAAGCCCCCUUCUGUAUUUCUUCCAGUUAAAUUUGCAAUAAACAGUAGUGAUUUUACCUGGAUUUAUUUUAAUUGAUUUUCUUAAAAAAAAACAAGCACAAAACCAACACCCAAAGAUGCAGUGCCAUUUCUAGGAAAAGAGGAAAGAAAGGCUCCACGUGUGAAAACGACAAUCGUGCUGCACUGACUCUAAUUCAGACACCAGCAAACACUUGCCAAUACGUCUGUAUGUGCUAUAUCAUGUCUGCUUUUGCAAGUGGCUGUGCAGCUACUGAAGUUCUGCAGUUAAGGUACAGUUUGAGCUGACCUGUGUCUGAAAAGUCAAAUACAAUUCGAGACUCAAGUAUUAAUAGAAUAAACUUAAUUUUUUUUUAUAGGUGCAGCUGCAUUUUCGAUUUAAUUAUAGGCUCCCACAGUAGUAAUUUUUCCGUGACCUACUCAAUCUCAAAAGUCAGAAAAUUGCUUCUUUUUUAAAGCUGACAAUAGCACGGUAUGUUUCCAAAGGAAAAAGACAAAUUACAGCAAAUCAUUACUUUAAGCAUAUUUAAAUAGCUGGGAAGAAAUCCUAAUUGAAAAGUUUGCUAAAAUGUGAAAAAGUUAGUGGUGCUUUUUUUCUUUUUUAGAAAAAGAUUAUUCUCAUGUUUGUAACAUUGCAAGCUGCUUAUGAUAUGAUGCCUUUCCUUUCUCUGCUCAUCCCUCUACUUCUUUUCUUUCUGAUGUGGUUGGACACAAGGUUUUUAGGAAGCAAAAAUUUUAACUGGAGAGAAAUCAAUCUGUAGAUGUGUUUAAUAAUGUAA